AAGUCGUAACAAGGUUUCCGUAGGUGAACCUGCGGAAGGAUCAUUAAAGGUAAUUGGUUAUACAUAUCCUGUAUCAACUGCACAAACCCAUUCCGAGUACCUUGCCUGUUGCUUUCCAUGGGGCCUGACUUUGGUCACUCUAGUGAUGCGAAUCCCAAGAGAGUCCCAUGGGGUAGUAUAAUCAUAGAUCAAUGUCAUUCUGAAUGAUUAAAUAACAAAUGUUAAAA
rnacentral:misc_RNA from 1 species